rnacentral:antisense_RNA from 1 species
GCCUCAUAACCAUCAGUUGUUACUGAUGCUUGUUUUGGUUGUCAAAGAAGAAUGAGGAGAGGAGUUAUAGGAGGUGGACUUGGAGGUUUGUUCGGGGUCACUGGCUGCAGCAAGUCUCCUCCCACAGAGCCGACCCCAUUCCUCAGACCUACACUCUGUACAGCAUGGGUACUGACCAACUCAUGGUUAAAUGCGUAGGAGAAACUGAAGCACAGCUGAGGUGCCCACCAUCAGCAGAGCUAGGCCGGCAUCAGAGGAAGCUGGGCCUCCAAGCCCUUCUCGGACUCAGAAUCCUCCCAGCAGACACCCAGGCAGAGGAGUGUGAAUUCUCAGCCCCUAAAAAGGUU